rnacentral:lncRNA from 10 species
GGAAUCGCUGCCUUAUCCACCAGCGGGAUGCUUACCUCGCCCGCCCUCUCGGGUCAGGCGGGCCCGGGAGGAUGGGAGGGUGGCUGCUGAGCGGGAGCCGCCACGUCUUCCACCCGACAUAUUGCCUAGAGUUUGCUGUGACUUAGAUCUUGAUUCAGAGAUGGAGAAAUCAGGCCCAUCUUCUACCAUCUCUGAGCAGCAGCUGCAGAGGCAAGAGGGAUGGAUUAACACCAAAACAGACUUGGCUGAGCAGAGUCUCAUUUCAUCUGAGAAAUGGCUUCAACUGCAUGGGCUUAAGAGCAACAAAUUGACCUUGAAACAGAUUUUGUCACAGAUCGGAUUCCCACAUUGUGAAGCUUGAAGAAUUCCCUUUAGCAUUUCUUAUAAGGCAGGUCUGGUAGUGAUGAACUCCCUCGGCUUUUGUUUAUCUGUGAAAGUCUUUAUCUCUCCUUCAUUUGGGAAGGACAGCUUUGAUUAUGUGGCGUCUCUGGGGAGACCUGUGGCUUCUCGGUAUGCUGAUGGUCUGUUUCCACAGCUCUACAGAGCAGAAGAUGGCAGAGUAUACAAUCUGACAGCUAAAUCAGAACUGAUUUAUCAGUUUGUGGAACAUUUAACACAAGCUGUGGAGAGCUACAAGCAGCGAAUGGACUGGCUCACCAGCAAGAGCCGGCAGAUUUUUGGUGUCAUCUUGGAACAGUGCGUCACCAUAGUGCUGGA